rnacentral:rRNA from 1 species
UGGGAAUUUGGACAAUGGGCGAAAGCCUGAUCCAGCAAUGCCGCGUGUGUGAAGAAGGCCUUCGGGUUGUAAAGCACUUUUGUCCGGAAAGAAAUCCUUGGCUCUAAUACAGUCGGGGGAUGACGGUACCGGAAGAAUAAGCACCGGCUAACUACGUGCCAGCAGCCGCGGUAAUACGUAGGGUGCAAGCGUUAAUCGGAAUUACUGGGCGUAAAGCGUGCGCAGGCGGUUUGCUAAGACCGAUGUGAAAUCCCCGGGCUCAACCUGGGAACUGCAUUGGUGACUGGCAGGCUAGAGUAUGGCAGAGGGGGGUAGAAUUCCACGUGUAGCAGUGAAAUGCGUAGAGAUGUGGAGGAAUACCGAUGGCGAAGGCAGCCCCCUGGGCCAAUACUGACGCUCAUGCACGAAAGCGUGGGGAGCAAACAGGAUUAGAUACCCUGGUAGUCCACGCCCUAAACGAUGUCAACUAGUUGUUGGGGAUUCAUUUCCUUAGUAACGUAGCUAACGCGUGAAGUUGACCGCCUGGGGAGUACGGUCGCAAGAUU